rnacentral:rRNA from 1 species
ACACGACUACAUUAGAUACCCCCGUAGUCCAGGGUGUAAACGCUGCAGACUUGGUGUUGGGAACCCUUCGGGGGUGCUCAGUGCCGGAGAGAAGUUGUUAAGUCUGCUACUUGGGAGUACGUCCGCAAGGAUGAAACUUAAAGGAAUUGGGCGGGGGAGCACCGCAACGGGAGGAGCGUGCGGUUUAAUUGGAUUCAACGACCGAAAAACUCACCAGCAGCGACUGUUACAUGAAAGUCAGGUUGAUGACCUUACUAGAUUUUCAG